UCAUACAUAUUAAACAAGAUUUUAAGAAGAGUUUAACAGAGUACACACAAGAAGAAAAGUAACUCACUGCCCUGGAUUCAAAGACUGGGGUGGGCCUCUUUCUUAAUGUCCAGUGUCCUGGGUCAAAAGAUUCAGUGCAAUAAGU